rnacentral:rRNA from 1 species
UAAGACGGAGGGGGCAAGCGUUGUCCGGACUCACUGGGCGUAAAGGGUGCGCAGGCGGUCCUGUGCGUCGGCGCUGAAAGCGCCCGGCUUAACCGGGUGAGGCGCGCCGAUACGAUGGGACUUGAGGCUCGGAGAGGGUGGUGGAACUCCUGGUGUAGUGGUGAAAUGCGUAGAGAUCAGGAAGAACACCCGUGGCGCAAGCGACCACCUGGCCGAGACCUGACGCUGAGGCACGAGAGCGUGGGGAGCGAACCGGAUUAGAUACCCGGGUAGUCCACGCCGUAAACGAUGUCGACUCGGUGUGCGCGCUCCGUUAAGGAGCGGGUGUGCCUUAGCUCACGCGGGAAGUCGACCGCCUGGGGACUACGAGCGCAAGCUUA